rnacentral:sRNA from 1 species
CUGGGAUGCAAUGGAUUAAGAAGGGAUGAUGUAUGACUCUUCUGUGUUUGUCAGCAUCUAGGCUAGGCCCUGAUCCCAGGGAACCUGUGCUGCAAAUGUCCAUUCAUUCAUUCAUUCGUUCAUUUGUUCAUUAAUUCAUUUGUUCAUCCAUCAACCUCCUUUCUUCACAGGUAGACAUGUAUGCAGGUGCCAUCUUCAUCCAGCAGUCUUUGCACCUAGAUCUGUACCUGGCCAUAGUUGGGCUGCUGGCCAUCACUGCUGUAUACACGGUUGCUGGUGGCCUGGCUGCUGUGAUCUACACGGAUGCCCUGCAGACGCUGAUCAUGCUUAUAGGAGCGCUCACCUUGAUGGGCUACAGUUUCGCCGCGGUUGGUGGGAUGGAAGGCCUGAAGGAGAAGUACUUCUUGGCCCUGGCUAGCAACCGGAGUGAGAACAGCAGCUGCGGGCUGCCCCGGGAAGAUGCCUUCCAUAUUUUCCGAGAUCCGCUGACA